GCUUUUCGGUCUCCAGGCUCCCCCCGGCAGUUUUUAUGGAGCGACUCAACCCCAAACACAUGAUGUCAUCGUGCGGGGAGAAAAAGAACGCCCAGCCUACCGAAGGGCUGGGGCCGCAGGUCCGAGGCUGCUUGUUCUCACUCCAUGAGGAGGGACCCAGCUAGAGGAAGACCUGAGUAGAGGAUCCUAUAAAGCAGAGGAAACAAGACAAGGCCAUCAAUUGCCCUGAUCUAAGGGCGAUGCAGCCUCUGUGUUUAUUCCUGCCUGUCAAUGCCAUAUCAGCUGGGAAGUUCAGGGCAGAAGAUUUGCUUACCCUGGGCCCAGAGUUCAUCCUUGGGUCAGUAAAGGAUCUCAAAGUGGAAUUCAGAAGACCCAAUGCCUUCUCCACUUUAAAAAAAAAAAGAAAAGAAAAAACUUUCCUCUAAUACUAAAACCUUGUCUGUUAUAUGUUUUGUUCAAGAAAAAAAAAAGUUACCCUAAGACUGGAAUGCCUCCAUUUUUACUCCAUAG